rnacentral:lncRNA from 10 species
UAGACUACCAAAAAUCCUUCUGUCCUUGCAGUGACCUACAUCCAAAGUGAAAAGUUAUUCAGCCUCUGAAGAGAAGCAUUUUGUUUGGGGAUCUUCAAGUAUGCUUGUCAGCACCGAGAACUGGAAAAAAAUCUCUGAUUGUCCUGCAGCAAUGGCAUUAAAGGCUCCUCAUAACAUACAGAACCAGAAUUGUGCCAUAAUUUACUGAAAUUGAACAUUGCUCUGUGACUGCUAAUUUUCCAUCGAGAUGAUUCUGUCUCUAACCAAGAAAAGAAAAGUUUGUCUUCCUGACUGCUGACACUGCUGACCAAGCCCACCACCAGAUGCCUGGCUGCACACCCAGAGGGCAGCCGCUUCCCGUGGUCCUCUCGAAGAACUUCCCUUUUGCAAUGCAUGUUUAGCAAGUGGAUGAGUUUGUCUUUUCUGAUUUCUCUGCAAGCUCUGCAUUGCCCACCUGAACCAGUGCUUCAGAAGAACUAAUGGGAUCUCUGACCCUCCAACAUCCUCUUCCAGACUUUCACUUUCCUGGCUCCUUGCAGGGACAUGUAAUAAACGUGCUCUCCAG